AGUGAACGCUGGCGGUAGGCCUAACACAUGCAAGUCGAACGGCAGCACAGGAGAGCUUGCUCUCUGGGUGGCGAGUGGCGGACGGGUGAGGAAUACAUCGGAAUCUGCCCAGUCGUGGGGGAUCACGUAGGGAAACUUACGCUAAUACCGCAUACGACCUUCGGGUGAAAGAGGGGGAUCGCAAGACCUCUCGCGAUUGGAUGAGCCGAUGUCGGAUUAGCUAGUUGGCGGGGUAAUGGCCCACCAAGGCGACGAUCCGUAGCUGGUCUGAGAGGAUGAUCAGCCACACUGGAACUGAGACACGGUCCAGACUCCUACGGGGGGCAGCAGUGGGGAAUAUUGGACAAUGGGCGCAAGCCUGAUCCAGCCAUACCGCGUGGGUGAAGAAGGCCUUCGGGUUGUAAAGCCCUUUUGUUGGGAAAGAAAUCUUUCAGGCUAAUACCCUGGGAGGAUGACGGUACCCAAAGAAUAAGCACCGGCUAACUUCGUG
rnacentral:rRNA from 1 species